UACAUGGGGUGCAAACGUUGCUCGGAAUUAUUGGGCGUAAAGCGCGCGUAGGCGGUUACUUAAGUCGGAUGUGAAAGCCCGUCGGCUUAACUGAGGAAGUGCACCCGAAACUGAGUAGCUAGAGUACGAAAGAGGGUCGCGGAAUUCCCGGUGUAGAGGUGAAAUUCGUAGAUAUCAGGAAAAAACACCGAUGACGAAGGCGGCGACCUGGGUCGAGACUGACGCUGAGGCGCGAAAGCGUGGGGAGCAAACAGG
rnacentral:rRNA from 1 species